rnacentral:rRNA from 1 species
GACGAACGCUGGCGGCGGGCUUAACACAUGCAAGUCGAACGAGAAGCCCAGUGCUUGCACUGGGUGGAAAGUGGCGCACGGGUGAGUAACGCGUAGGCAACCUACCCUUAGCUGGGGAAUAACCAGGGGAAACCCUGGCUAAUACCACAUAAUGUCGGAGCACCGCAUGGCGCUCCGAUCAAAGCUUUGGCGGCUAAGGAUGGGCCUGCGUUGGAUUAGCUAGUUGGUGGGGUAAAGGCCCACCAAGGCAACGAUCUAUAGCGGGUCUGAGAGGAUGAUCCGCCACACUGGCACUGAGACACGGGCCAGACUCCUACGGGAGGCAGCAGUGAGGAAUAUUGCGCAAUGGACGAAAGUCUGACGCAGCCACGCCGCGUGCAGGAAGACACCCCUCUGGGGCGUAAACUGCUUUUUUAUACGGGAAGAACACCCUACUCGGUAGGUCUGACGGUACCGUACGAAUAAGGACCGGCUAACUCCGUGCCAGCGCCGCGGUAA